AUUUAUUAUGAAGUAUUUAAUUUGGAAAUUAAAUUUUAGUGAGCUGAAACUAGGGUCUAUUGAUUCAAAUAUAUUUCUUAAUUGAUUAAAAUAUUUUAAUAUUUCUCAUUUUAUGAUGAAACUGGUUAAUUUAUUUGUUAAUCAAUUUAUGGUUUUCUCUAUUUUGUGACAAAGCAUGUGCUCUCUGAUCUGGGUUGCUUUGGUUUUGUGAUAAAGUUGAAAUUUUUUACUUGGCUUUCUUUGUUUCUAUUAGGGAAAUUAGGGGUUUUGAUAUGGGUUUGUUGAAUUCGUGAUAAGUGAGAGUUUUGUCUUGUUUUGUUCAGUUCCUCAUAAAGUAAGGGUUUUGAUUUGAGUUUACUCAAUUUGUGAUAAAUUUAGGUUUUGGAUCUGGGAUUAUUGAUUUUGCAAUGGCUGAGGAAACUUCUGAUACCAUGAAUCUUGAUUUGAAUUUGGGCCCUGGUCCUGAGGCAGGGUCAGGAUCUGUACCAAGCGAAGCAGUGAAUUUGGAAGAGUGGAUUG
rnacentral:misc_RNA from 1 species